rnacentral:rRNA from 1 species
CGAAGGGUGCAAGCGUUACUCGGAAUUACUGGGCGUAAAGCGUGCGUAGGUGGUUCGUUAAGUCUGUCGUGAAAGCCCCGGGCUCAACCUGGGAAUGGCGAUGGAUACUGGCGGGCUAGAGUGCGGUAGAGGAGAGUGGAAUUCCCGGUGUAGCAGUGAAAUGCGUAGAGAUCGGGAGGAACAUCAGUUGCGAAGGCGGCUCUCUGGACCAGCACUGACACUGAGGCACGAAAGCGUGGGGAGCAAACAGGAUUAGAUACCCUGGUAGUCCACGCCCUAAACGAUGCGAACUGGACGUUGGGAGCAACUAGGCUCUCAGUGUCGAAGCUAACGCGUUAAGUUCGCCGCCAGGGGAGUACGGUCGCAAGACUG